rnacentral:rRNA from 1 species
AUUGAACGCUGGCGGCAGGCCUAACACAUGCAAGUCGAGCGGAUGAAGGGAGCUUGCUCCUGGAUUCAGCGGCGGACGGGUGAGUAAUGCCUAGGAAUCUGCCUGGUAGUGGGGGAUAACGUCCGGAAACGGGCGCUAAUACCGCAUACGUCCUGAGGGAGAAAGUGGGGGAUCUUCGGACCUCACGCUAUCAGAUGAUCCUAGGUCGGAUUAGCUAGUUGGUGGGGUAAAGGCCUACCAAGGCGACGAUCCGUAACUGGUCUGAGAGGAUGAUCAGUCACACUGGAACUGAGACACGGUCCAGACUCCUACGGGAGGCAGCAGUGGGGAAUAUUGGACAAUGGGCGAAAGCCUGAUCCAGCCAUGCCGCGUGUGUGAAGAAGGUCUUCGGAUUGUAAAGCACUUUAAGUUGGGAGGAAGGGCAGUAAGUUAAUACCUUGCUGUUUUGACGUUACCAAAAGAAUAAGCACCGGCUAACUUCGUG